UUUUUUUUUUUUUCUUUUUGUUUUUUUUUUUUUUUUUUUUUUUUUUUUCAUUUUUAAAACACUCUCUAGAUACUUAUUUUAAUACAACUAGUAUGAACUUAAAAAUGCGCAGAAAGAAGGUCUUGGAGGGUCCUUUCUUGCAUUUUUCACAUAUAGAAAGAAUAGGUUGGACAAUGUGUGCAUUAUUGUCACUUUCAUCAUCGUCAUCAUCAUCAUCAUGUAAU
rnacentral:ribozyme from 17 species